rnacentral:lncRNA from 1 species
UGUUUUUUUUAGAACGAAGACGGUCGCGGUGUGGGCCAGUGGAAGAAAAAUAACAAUGAACUGCUCAACAGAAUGGCAAGUGAAAUGAAGAGCAAAGAACAGAGUAGCAUCCAAAAUGGGCAGUAUUACAAAACCAACCACCCCGGGCUGUUCCUGUUUUGUUCAUAUGACCUGGCGCUGUUGCUACUCAUUUUGCAACUCUUGCAGCCUGUGGAUGGCCGGAAGUGGAAGCCCCCGAAGUUGUCGAAGCGAAAGCGAUUCGACCCACGAAGACACGAAGUGGGCUCUCCCCCAGAGAUGGCACAAGGAGGUGGGUGGUCUGACUGUCGGAGCCAAACCGCGUAUCAUCCAUCAGGAUGGAUCUCACCUGCUAAUCCGUGAGACCUGGUCUCAUAGAAUUUUUUUCCCACCCGCAGGCAGCAAAGAGGGAAGGCGACGUCCAUUUCCAGGUUUAUAGCAAACAAAAACAGAAUCAUAUUCUUGUGCGCUUUGAAAUGAUUUCCCUCUGGGUGGAUGACUAGAUUCAUUAGUAAAGUGGCCUAUUUCGAACUGCAGGUAAACUGAAGAACAAAUGAUGAGCAUUCCUCUUGCGUGCAAGCGCACUAUAUAUCCAACCAAAAUGAGUAUUACAAAACCAACCAACAAACCAAUCUGAUCAUCACCCUUUCCAGCACUAGUUUUACAAUGUUCUUGUCGUCGUGUUUGCCUGUGUGUGUAUGUGUAUGUGAUUGUGACGUGAGUGGUACACCUACCAUCGCCAACCUGGGCUGGGGAUGACAAUGGAGCCGCCG